rnacentral:rRNA from 1 species
GACGAACGCUGGCGGUGUGCUUCACACAUGCAAGUCGAACGAGGUAGCAAUACCUAGUGGCGGACGGGUGAGUAACGCGUGGGAAUCUGCCUUUAGAUGGGGGAUAACGAGCCGAAAGGUUCGCUAAUACCGCAUAGGUCGCAAGAUUAAAGGAGUAAUCCGUCUAGAGAUGAGCCCGCGUCCGAUUAGCUAGUUGGUAGGGUAAAGGCCUACCAAGGCGACGAUCGGUAGCUGGUCUGAGAGGAUGAUCAGCCACAAUGGGACUGAGACACGGCCCAUACUCCUACGGGAGGCAGCAGUGGGGAAUUUUACGCAAUGGGCGAAAGCCUGACGUAGCGACACCGCGUGAGCGAAGAAGCCCUUGGGUGUAAAGCUCUGUCGGCUGGAACGAAAAAAUGACGGUACCAGCAAAGGAAGCAUCGGCUAAC